GAACAUUUGAGUUUUUUCCAGCUCAAGUACAGUAUUUUUUAACCAGAAUUUUGUUCAUGGCCUUUUCCAGCGUUAAGGCAUUGUCAUCCUGUCAUUGUCAGCUGUAUAAUGCAAUUAUCCAAAAUUUCAAUUUCUUUCUUUUUCAGAAGUCAAAGUUUCUGGUUGUCAAUCCUGCCUGCUCACUAGAAUCACCUAGGGAGUUGUAAAUUCCAACAAUCAGGCCACACCUAAGACCCAUUAAGUGAGGCUCUCUGGAAGUGGGUGGGACCUAGAGUCCGAGGUUUUAGAGCCCCCCUGUGAUUGCACCGUGUGGCCAGUAGGGAGCGCUCUUGCGCGAAGUCUUCUGGAGUCGGCGGAAGGCUUGGAAUGUUGCUCUCAUCUGAAGCUUCCCAUGAUAACUGCGCCGUGCUCUUCUUAAAUUCGAUCCUCAAGCCUUCUAGAAGAGUGCAUUGUAAAGCCCAGGCACCUCUUCAGUUCCAGUGUCUUCUGGGCUUUGUUGCUUGCCCCUGCAUGGAUCUUUGGAGCAGCCAGCGGGACACCUUUCUCCACCACACGUGUGUCAGUGUCUGUCUGUACCUGACCCAGAGGGCAGCACCUCCAAGCGUGAGUACCCUCCUGGCUGGGGAUCUGGAGCAAUGAGUUUCCAGGGUCAAGUAACAAGGGUAGGAGGAGGACUGGGGAGAUUCCAGCGCUGGACUAGGGCGGGCAGUGGGCAUGUCAGCUCCAGGUGCUGGC
rnacentral:lncRNA from 1 species